ACUAGCUAGCAUGCAAUAAACUUUCUUUCUUGAUUUCAAUGGUUCGUGAUCUCUUUUGUGGAGGAAGAUGCAGAUUUGGAACAAAGACACGCUAUGUAAAACGCCAAAAUAAAUUGAGCCCUAAUUUUAAAAACAACCCAAAAAUAAAUAGAAACAACAAAGCUCUGAAAUUUGAAGAUGAAUUACCUUGCAACCUAAUUUUUCAGAUCUGGAUUGUCUUUCAAAGGAGAGAACUUUGAAGAAGCUGGAGCGAAAAAAUUGGUACAUGACAAAGAUGAGGAAGUAGAGCUAUAAUGGGGGGAUUCUAAGCAAGUGGUAUUGUAAUGGCUGUAAUUCAGAUUUGAAAUUCACGCACAACAUUUGGAGGGAAAGAUAAGGUCAAUGUAAGAUAAUUGACCAUUUUAGCCGAAAAUGAUGUGCAAGUACUCAAAUUAACCAUUUACCAACGAUAAGGUAAUAUUUUUUUGUUCUUACUACGAGGAGUUUCCACCCUUUGGCGAGUGGACUCUCCUACGGGAGUUUGCACGGGUACCUCAAAGGGCAGCAUCCCUCCCAGCUGAGAUUUUUUCCAUACCCAAGGCUCGAACCCGAGACCUUGGUUAAGGAGCGAGAGGCCCUUAACCACUCACGCCAACCCCAGUUGGUCACCAACGAUAAGGUGAUUCCUCAGAGGAAACGAUGUGAAGCCGGUUCAGGUGAUCAUGAUAAAGAAUUAGAAGACGAGGGGAAAACAGAG